rnacentral:rRNA from 1 species
UGCAGUCGNCGCGAAAGUUCCCUUCGGGGAGCGAGUAGAGUGGCGCACGGGUGAGUAACACGUAGGUAAUUUGCCUUUGGGUGGGGAAUAACUCAGGGAAACUUGAGCUAAUACCGCAUAAUGCAGCGGCUCGACAUCGAGACAGUUGUUAAAGCGGGGGAUUGGAGCAAUCCGACCUCGCGCCUGGAGAGAAGCCUGCGGCAGAUUAGCUAGUUGGUAAGGUAAUGGCUUACCAAGGCAACGAUCUGUAACCGGCCUGAGAGGGCGGUCGGUCACACUGACACUGACAUACGGGUCAGACUCCUACGGGAGGCAGCAGUCGGGAAUUUUGGGCAAUGGGCGAAAGCCUGACCCAGCAACGCCGCGUGAAGGAUGAAAUUUUUCGGAAUGUAAACUUCGCAAGAACAGGAAGAAUAAGUAGAAGAUAAUACCUUCUAUGAUGGCGGUACUGUUUGUAAGCUCCGGCUAACUCCGUGCCAGCAGCCGCGGUAAUACGGGGGGAGCAAGCGUUGUUCGGAUUUACUGGGCGUAAAGGGCGCGUANGCGGCGUGACAAGUCACUUGUGAAAUCUCCGGGCUUAACUCGGAACGGUCAAGUGAUACUGUCGUGCUAGAGUACAGAANGGGCAACUGGAAUUCUCGGUGUAGCGGUGAAAUGCGUAGAUAUCGAGAGGAACACCUGCGGCGAAAGCGGGUUGCUGGGCUGAUACUGACGCUGANCGCGAAAGCCNGGGAGCGAACGGGAUUAGAUACCCCGGUAGUCCUGGGCCUUAAACGAUGAAUGCUUGGUGUCUCGGGNUAUAAAGUCCCGGGGNUGCCGUCGCUAACGCUUUUAGCAUUCCGCCUGGGGAGUACGGUCGCAGACUGAACUCAA